rnacentral:SRP_RNA from 2 species
UGCCAACCGGGUGUCCGCACUAAGUUCAGCAUCAAUAUGGUGACCUCCUAGGAGCAGGGGGCCAUCAGGUUGCCUAAGGAUGAGUGAACUGGCCAGAUCAGAAAGGGAGCAGGUCAGAACUCCUGCACUGACCAGUAAUGGGACUGUGCCUGGGCA